rnacentral:rRNA from 1 species
GAUGAACGCUGGCGGCGUGCUUAACACAUGCAAGUCGAACGAUGAUCCGGUGCUUGCACCGGGGAUUAGUGGCGAACGGGUGAGUAACACGUGAGUAACCUGCCCUUAACUCUGGGAUAAGCCUGGGAAACUGGGUCUAAUACCGGAUAUGACUCCUCAUCGCAUGGUGGGGGGUGGAAAGCUUUUGUGGUUUUGGAUGGACUCGCGGCCUAUCAGCUUGUUGGUGCGGUAAUGGCUCACCAAGGCGACGACGGGUAGCCGGCCUGAGAGGGUGACCGGCCACACUGGGACUGAGACACGGCCCAGACUCCUACGGGAGGCAGCAGUGGGGAAUAUUGCACAAUGGGCGGAAGCCUGAUGCAGCGACGCCGCGUGAGGGAUGACGGCCUUCGGGUUGUAAACCUCUUUCAGUAGGGAAGAAGCGAAAGUGACGGUACCUGCAGAAGAAGCGCCGGCUAACUACGUGCCAGCAGCCGCAGUAAAAC